GUUUCAAGGCCUAGGAAAAGCUUAGUCCUCUGAGACUGCUGCUUGCCCAGAAAUACAAGUCAUACUUUUGUGAUAUCUGGUUGCUUGCCAUAUGGUGUCUCAAGGGGUCUGGGAUCAUUUACUGCAAUAAUUCAGUGGGAUCAUGUGACAGUGCUCAGGGUCUAAGACAGGCACACAAGAAACAUCACUACUACUGCAUGGCCUUCUUUAGCAGCAUGUGGAAAUGUUGCAAACCAUGGGAAGGCUUGGAUUAACCCCAUAAAGGGACAAAGCAAGGAAAGAACUGGCUGGGAUUCCCAACAAUCUUGGAGUUCAAAGGACCCAUGGUAGGGCUGUUCUGGAGUGUUGGAUGGGAUGAUAAUUAUUAAUAGUUCCAUCUGGUUCCUAUAAAAACAAUCACUUCAAAAACAUUGAUUAUUAAAAGCCUCAUAGAAAAUUUAUUUUUACCACUUCUCGGCCUGGGUAAGAUCAAGUGUGGUAUCUGUUUAUAUCAGUUUAAUAUCUGAUACAUCCUCUAUCGGAGGAUAAUAUAUUGAAUGGAUUUUUGGAGCUAGUAGAUGGACUAGUAACUUGCCCCACUCCACCCAUUGACCUGGUAUUACAGUACCUCCAGGAAUGGUGCAUCCCCUUUGGGGUAUAGAAUGGUUGCAACAAAAAGUAGAUCAAGGCUGGGUGUGGUGGUUAUGUCUGUAAUCCCAACACUUUUGGAAGCCAACGUGGAAGGAUCGCUUGAGCUCAGGAGUUUGAGACCAGCCUGAGCAACAUGGUGAAACCCCAUCUCUACAAAAAAAAAAAAAAAAAAAAAAAAAAAUAUUAGCUGGGUGGGGUGCAAUAUGUUUGUAGUCCCAGCUGCUCAGGAGGCAGAGUCACUUGAAUCCAGGAGGUAGAGGUUGCAGUGAGCUGAGAUCGCGCCAUUGCACUCCAGCUUGGGCAACAAGAGGGAAACUCUAUCUCAAAAAAUAAAAAAUAAAAAUAAUAAAGAAUUUUUUUUAAUUACUGGGAGGAACAGUGUCAAAGUUUUAAUGUUGUCUUUCAGGGAUAAGAUGACAAAUGGCUUUUCCUCCUGCCUCUCUCUAUAUUUCUAUACUUUCCAAAUGAGCUACAAGAAUGUAAUGUAGAUAUUCAUACUCAGACUGACUGGCUCCACUAUCUAAUACCCAGGUGGCCCUGGACUAAUUUCUAAUCUCACUCUACUUCCAUUUUUUUCUGUAAAUGGGGAUUCUAUGAAUAAUGCCUGCUUUCGUAAAGCUGUUGUGAGAAUUAAAUGAGGCAAUACAAGUAAAGGUUUAAACAGAGCCUGGCAUAUAGUAACUACACCCACAUUUUGGCUAUUGUUACUAUUACUGCUAUACUUAAUUGAUUCUAAGACUCACAUUUUUCUCUUUCAUUUUUACUGCUUUCUAAUUGGAAUAUAUCUCAUAGCUGAUGAUAUGACAUGCUUAAUGGACAACCCUUUUUAUUGUCUUGGUGACUUUGGU
rnacentral:lncRNA from 10 species